UAUGGCCACAUCACAUUUAGACAUUGGUUCCCAUACAAUCACUAAAGUUAAGCAAGGUCGAGCCUGGUCACUACCUAUAUGGGUGACUGCUUGGGAAUACCAGGUGCUGUAAG